rnacentral:rRNA from 1 species
UACGUAGGGUGCGAGCGUUAAUCGGAAUUACUGGGCGUAAAGCGUGCGCAGGCGGUGAUGUAAGACAGGUGUGAAAUCCCCGGGCUUAACCUGGGAACUGCAUUUGUGACUGCAUCGCUGGAGUGCGGCAGAGGGGGAUGGAAUUCCGCGUGUAGCAGUGAAAUGCGUAGAGAUGCGGAGGAACACCGAUGGCGAAGGCAGCCCCCUGGGUCGACACUGACGCUCAGGCACGAAAGCAUGGGGAGCGAACAGG